GAUAAAUAGUUUUGAGCGUUAAGAUGGUAGCUCACUGAUUUUGUGCUCAUAGUCACAAAUGAAUUUGAAGGAAGUUUAUUUAAAAUACAUUUUAAUAAUGAUCCACUUUUACAUUUUAUUUUAUGUACCUGAAAUUUAUAGAGUCUUUCUUUUAGCCAUGCUGAGCAAGGAUAACUAACGUACACGUUAUAUCCGCUAUUAGAUUUUUUAUCGAUGCGUUGCGCAGAAAUGGCGAACUUGUUGCUGGCAGGACACGUUCUGAGGAUGCCUCAUUCAGAAUGCGAAUGGCAUUUGCCGCAGGAUUCCCUCACACGCGCAUACGUGUAACACCUUGGGUCUGGUGCCGUAACUGCUUCGGUGGCCUCAAUUAUUGCGACAACUUGUGAUUGGAAACUUUGGUAGAUUGCCAUAGCAGACCUUGCAAUCUGCACUUUGACCCAUCAAGUGUGAACGAAACGGAACGGAAUGGCUGUGCGAAGUUUUACGAAGUGUAAUGAUUGCACUUUCAGGCGGUAAAUGAAAUUUAUCUACUUUGAUGUGGCCACUUUGUCAACUUCGUAGCCA